UUUAAAAACUAGCCAUUGUCCUUCUUUUUUCUUCUGUGUUCUGUCCCUUUAAAUGUAUCCCACAGGCGGAGCCCUGGCUGCCAUCAUUAGUUCCGUGGGUGUUGCUGUCCUCGGUGCCGCCUCAAGUUACUUUGCAUACCAGAAAAAGAAACUCUGUUUCAAAGUACAAGGAGGGGAGGAUCCAGAGAGUGGCAAAAACCGUGGUACUCAGUCUGAUCCUCAAGUUCUCAGCAACCUGCUCCGUUCAUCGUAACUGCAUUGGAUCUGCACAUUGAAAUAAUAUAUGCACACUGAGCAUGUACAUCUAUGGAGAGCCUAAUCAUAUGGGAAACAUCUGUUACACAAAAGGCUGGUUUAAGACUGUUUUAAAAAUCUUAGUGUAAGUGUGUUUUUGUUUUAUUUUUAUUUUUUAUUUGGAUUAUCGAAGUUGUAUUGACUGAUCUUUAUUUUAAGAAUGUAUUUUUUUUUUUCUGUAUUCAACCUUUUUUUGUAACAAAUAUUUAAUCUUUGGAGGAAGUAGAGUAAUAUGUCACUAAAUGGCUCGGUGUUCUUUUUGU